rnacentral:rRNA from 1 species
AUUGAACGCUGGCGGCAGGCCUAACACAUGCAAGUCGAACGAGUGGCGGACGGGUGAGUAAUUUCUGGGCAACUUCCCGAUGGAGGGGGAUAACUCCUGGAAACGGUAGCUAAUACCGCAUACCAUCCUAUGUUCCCAGAUGGGAUUAGCUAGCUGGUGGGGUAACGGCUCACCAAGGCGACGAUCCCUAGCUGGUCUGAGAGGAUGACCAGCCACACUGGAACUGAGACACGGUCCAGACUCCUACGGGAGGCAGCAGUGGGGAAUAUUGCACAAUGGGCGCAAGCCUGAUGCAGCCAUGCCGCGUGUAUGAAGAAGGCCUUCGGGUUGUAAAGUACUUUCAGCGAGGAGGCGUUACCCGCAGAAGAAGCACCGGCUAACUCCGUGCCAGCAGCCGCGGUAAUUC